rnacentral:lncRNA from 1 species
AAAUUUUGGACAUUCCUGCUCUAGAAGUUUCUUCUUCUUCUUCUUCUUCUUUUUUUUUUUUGUUGUUUUUUUUUUUGUUUUUU